rnacentral:snoRNA from 1 species
UGUGAAACUGAAUAUUGCUGUGAUAAUGAGCUGACAACAAAAAUCCAUCCAUUUACAGAUACACA